rnacentral:rRNA from 1 species
UGCAGUCGAGCGGUAGCACAGAGAGCUUGCUCUCGGGUGACGAGCGGCGGACGGGUGAGUAAUGUCUGGGAAACUGCCUGAUGGAGGGGGAUAACUACUGGAAACGGUAGCUAAUACCGCAUAACGUCGCAAGACCAAAGUGGGGGACCUUCGGGCCUCAUGCCAUCAGAUGUGCCCAGAUGGGAUUAGCUAGUAGGUGGGGUAACGGCUCACCUAGGCGACGAUCCCUAGCUGGUCUGAGAGGAUGACCAGCCACACUGGAACUGAGACACGGUCCAGACUCCUACGGGAGGCAGCAGUGGGGAAUAUUGCACAAUGGGCGCAAGCCUGAUGCAGCCAUGCCGCGUGUGUGAAGAAGGCCUUCGGGUUGUAAAGCACUUUCAGCGGGGAGGAAGGCGAUAAGGUUAAUAACCUUGUCGAUUGACGUUACCCGCAGAAGAAGCACCGGCUAACUCCGUGCCAGCAGCCGCGGUAAUACGGAGGGUGCAAGCGUUAAUCGGAAUUACUGGGCGUAAAGCGCACGCAGGCGGUCUGUCAAGUCGGAUGUGAAAUCCCCGGGCUCAACCUGGGAACUGCAUUCGAAACUGGCAGGCUAGAGUCUUGUAGAGGGGGGUAGAAUUCCAGGUGUAGCGGUGAAAUGCGUAGAGAUCUGGAGGAAUACCGGUGGCGAAGGCGGCCCCCUGGACAAAGACUGACGCUCAGGUGCGAAAGCGUGGGGAGCAAACAGGAUUAGAUACCCUGGUAGUCCACGCCGUAAACGAUGUCGAUUUGGAGGUUGUGCCCUUGAGGCGUGGCUUCCGGAGCUAACGCGUUAAAUCGACCGCCUGGGGAGUACGGCCGCAAGGUUAAAACUCAAAUGAAUUGACGGGGGCCCGCACAAGCGGUGGAGCAUGUGGUUUAAUUCGAUGCAACGCGAAGAACCUUACCUGGUCUUGACAUCCACAGAACUUAGCAGAGAUGCUUUGGUGCCUUCGGGAACUGUGAGACAGGUGCUGCAUGGCUGUCGUCAGCUCGUGUUGUGAAAUGUUGGGUUAAGUCCCGCAACGAGCGCAACCCUUAUCCUUUGUUGCCAGCGGUUCGGCCGGGAACUCAAAGGAGACUGCCAGUGAUAAACUGGAGGAAGGUGGGGAUGACGUCAAGUCAUCAUGGCCCUUACGACCAGGGCUACACACGUGCUACAAUGGCAUAUACAAAGAGAAGCGACCUCGCGAGAGCAAGCGGACCUCAUAAAGUAUGUCGUAGUCCGGAUUGGAGUCUGCAACUCGACUCCAUGAAGUCGGAAUCGCUAGUAAUCGUAGAUCAGAAUGCUACGGUGAAUACGUUCCCGGGCCUUGUACACACCGCCCGUCACACCAUGGGAGUGGGUUGCAAAAGAAGUAGGUAGCUUAACCUUCGGGAGGGCGCU